GAACCGUACGAACGUUAUUCGGAAUUACUGGGCUUAAAGGGUGCGUAGGCGGCUUGGAAAGUUGGGGGUGUGAAAGCCCUCGGGCUCAACCGAGGAAUGGCGCCCAAAACUGCCAGGCUUGAGGGAGACAGAGGUGAGUGGAACUUAGGGUGGAGCGGUGAAAUGCGUUGAUAUCCUAAGGAACACCAGUGGCGAAAGCGACUCACUGGGUCUCUUCUGACGCUGAGGCACGAAAGCUAGGGGAGCGAACGGGAUUAGAUACCCCGGUAGUCCUAGCUGUAAACGAUGAGCACUGGGUCGGAGAGCCUUCCAUAGCUUUCCGGCCGAAGCGAAAGUGUUAAGUGCUCCGCCUGGGGAGUAUGGUCGCAAAGGCUG
rnacentral:rRNA from 1 species